UGCUGUUUCAGCUCAGUGGAGGACUUC
rnacentral:piRNA from 1 species